UACGGAAGGGGCAAGCGUUAUCCGGAAUGAUUGGGCGUAAAGCGUCCGCAGGUGGCUAUGUAAGUCUGCUGUUAAAGAGCAAGGCUCAACCUUGUAAAGGCAGUGGAAACUACAUGGCUAGAGUGCGUUCGGGGCAGAGGGAAUUCCUGGUGUAGCGGUGAAAUGCGUAGGGAUCAGGAAGAACACCGGUGGCGAAAGCGCUCUGCUAGGCCGCAACUGACACUGAGGGACGAAAGCUAGGGGAGCGAAUGGG
rnacentral:rRNA from 1 species